rnacentral:rRNA from 1 species
AGUCGAGCGCACCUUCGGGUGAGCGGCGGACGGGUUAGUAACGCGUGGGAACAUACCCUUUGGUACGGAAUAGCCUCUGGAAACGGAGAGUAAUACCGUAUGAGCCCUUCGGGGGAAAGAUUUAUCGCCAAAGGAUUGGCCCGCGUUAGAUUAGGUAGUUGGUGGGGUAAUGGCCUACCAAGCCUACGAUCUAUAGCUGGUUUUAGAGGAUGAUCAGCAACACUGGGACUGAGACACGGCCCAGACUCCUACGGGAGGCAGCAGUGGGGAAUCUUGGACAAUGGGGGCAACCCUGAUCCAGCCAUGCCGCGUGAGUGAUGAAGGCCUUAGGGUCGUAAAGCUCUUUCGCCUGUGAAGAUAAUGACGGUAGCAGGUAAAGAAACCCCGGCUAACUCCGUGCCAGCAGCCGCGGUAAUACGGAGGGGGUUAGCGUUGUUCGGAAUUACUGGGCGUAAAGCGCACGUAGGCGGACUGGAAAGUUGGGGGUGAAAUCCCAGGGCUCAACCCUGGAACUGCCUCCAAAACUAUCAGUCUAGAGUUCGAGAGAGGUGAGUGGAAUUCCGAGUGUAGAGGUGAAAUUCGUAGAUAUUCGGAGGAACACCAGUGGCGAAGGCGGCUCACUGGCUCGAUACUGACGCUGAGGUGCGAAAGUGUGGGGAGCAAACAGGAUUAGAUACCCUGGUAGUCCACACCGUAAACGAUGAAUGCCAGUCGUCGGGUAGCAUGCUAUUCGGUGACACACCUAACGGAUU